rnacentral:misc_RNA from 1 species
GAUGAAGAACGUAGCGAAAUGCGAUAAGUAAUGUGAAUUGCAGAAUUCAGUGAAUCAUCGAAUCUUUGAACGCACAUUGCGCCCCUUGGUAUUCCGGGGGGCAUGCCUGUUCGAGCGUCAUUUCAACCCUCAAGCUCAGCUUGGUAUUGAGUCCAUGUCAGUAAUGGCAGGCUCUAAAAUCAGUGGCGGCGCAGCUGGGUCCUGAACGUAGUAAUAUCUCUCGUUACAGGUUCUCGGUGUGCUUCUGCCAAAACCCAAAUUUUCUAUGGUUGACCUCGGAUCAGGUAGGGAUACCCGCUGAACUUAAGCAUAUCAAUAAGCGGAGGA